rnacentral:rRNA from 1 species
UACAGAGGUCUCAAGCGUUGUUCGGAUUCAUUGGGCGUAAAGGGCUCGUAGGCGGUUCGUCACGUCGGGAGUGAAAACUCGGAGCUUAACUCCGAGCCUGCUUCCGAUACGGGCAGACUAGAGGUAGGCAGGGGAGAGCGGAACUCCUGGUGUAGCGGUGGAAUGCGCAGAGAUCCGGAAGAACACCGGUGGCGAAGGCGGCCUGCUGGGCAGUUUAGCUGACACUGAGGCGCGACAGCGUGGGGAGCAAACAGG